rnacentral:rRNA from 1 species
UUAGAGUUUGAUCCUGGCUCAGGAUGAACGCUAGCGACAGGCCUAACACAUGCAAGUCGAGGGGUAACAGGGGCUUCGGCCCGCUGACGACCGGCGCACGGGUGAGUAACGCGUAUGCAACCUGCCUGUAACAGCGGGAUAGCUCCCUGAAAGGGGAAUUAACACCGCAUAAGACCACGCUCUCGCAUGGGGACGGGGUAAAAUAUUUAUAGGUUACAGAUGGGCAUGCGUGACAUUAGUUAGUUGGUGAGGUAACGGCUCACCAAGACUGCGAUGUCUAGGGGUUCUGAGAGGAAGGUCCCCCACACUGGAACUGAGACACGGUCCAGACUCCUACGGGAGGCAGCAGUGAGGAAUAUUUGUCAAUGGACGCAAGUCUGAACCAGCCAUGUCGCGUGCAGGAUGACUGCCCUAUGGGUUGUAAACUGCUUUUAUAUUGGAAGAAUUGCGCUUACGAGUUAAGCGUUUGACGGUACAUUAUGAAUAAGGAUCGGCUAACUCCGUGCCAGCAGCCGCGGUAAUACGGAGGAUCCGAGCGUUAUCCGGAUUUAUUGGGUUUAAAGGGUGCGUAGGCGGAAAUGUAAGUCAGUGGUGAAAUCCUGCAGCUUAACUGUAGAAUAGCCGUUGAAACUGUGUUUCUUGAGUACAUUUGAGGUAGGCGGAAUGUGGUGUGUAGCGGUGAAAUGCAUAGAUAUACCACAGAACACCGAUUGCGAAGGCAGCUUACUAAACUGUCACUGACGCUGAUGCACGAAAGCGUGGGUAUCAAACAGGAUUAGAUACCCUGGUAGUCCACGCUGUAAACGAUGAUUACUGGUUGUUGCCAAACCCUGCAAGUGACUGAGCGA